CCGGACACUUUAGCAGGGCUGCACCGACCAAAGCAACCCCGCCCCAUGUAAGC
rnacentral:ncRNA from 1 species